GAUGAACGCUAGCUACAGGCUUAACACAUGCAAGUCGAGGGGUCUCGAGGAAGCUUGCUUUCGAGAGACGACCGGCGCACGGGUGAGUAACGCGUAUCCAACCUGCCCUUCAUAUUGGGAUAGCCUUCCGAAAGGAAGAUUAAUACCGAAUAACAUAGAGUGAUUGCCUGAUUUCUCUAUGAAAGCUCCGGCGAUGAAGGAUGGGGAUGCGUUCCAUUAGGUAGUAGGCGGGGUAACGGCCCACCUAGCCGACGAUGGAUAGGGGUUCUGAGAGGAAGGUCCCCCACACUGGAACUGAGACACGGUCCAGACUCCUACGGGAGGCAGCAGUGAGGAAUAUUGGUCAAUGGGCGCAAGCCUGAACCAGCCAAGUAGCGUGAAGGAAGACUGCCCUAUGGGUUGUAAACUUCUUUUAUACGGGAACAAACCCUGGUACGUGUACCAGAUUGCGUGUACCGUAUGAAUAAGCAUCGGCUAACUCCGUG
rnacentral:rRNA from 1 species